GACGAAGGGGGCUAGCGUUGUUCGGAAUUACUGGGCGUAAAGCGCGUGUAGGCGGUUAUCCAAGUUGGAUGUGAAAGCCUUGAGCUUAACUCAAGAAAUGCAUUCAGGACUGGGUGACUAGAGGACCGGAGAGGAUAGUGGAAUUCCCAGUGUAGUGGUGAAAUACGUAGAGAUUGGGAAGAACACCAGUGGCGAAGGCGGCUAUCUGGACGGUUUCUGACGCUAAGACGCGAAAGCGUGGGGAGCAAAAAGG
rnacentral:rRNA from 1 species